GAUGAAGAACGCAGCGAAAUGCGAUACGUAAUGUGAAUUGCAGAAUUCAGUGAAUCAUCGAGUCUUUGAACGCACAUUGCGCCCCCUGGAAUUCCGGGGGGCAUGCCUGUCCGAGCGUCAUUGCUGCCCUCAAGCACGGCUUGUGUGUUGGGUCUCGUCCCCCUUCCCGGGGGGACGGGCCCGAAAGGCAGCGGCGGCACCGCGUCCGGUCCUCGAGCGUAUGGGGCUUUGUCACCCGCUCUGUAGGCCCGGCCGGCGCUUGCCGAUCAACCAAAACUUUUUUCCAGGUUGACCUCGGAUCAGGUAGGGAUACCCGCUGAACUUAAGCAUAUCAAUAAGCGGAGGA
rnacentral:misc_RNA from 1 species